AGGAUAUGUUGGAAAAAUCUAAUCUUUUCUUAAAAAGUAUAUGCUAAUUAGCAAGGUAUGCAAAGAAAUAAAGAAUAAUUCAAGAUUAUGAAGAAUUUGAUAAUGAGGUUUUUUGUUGAACCAAAAAAGGGGAGCUUUGGAUGUAGAAGAAACCAGCUUCAGAGCUCAAAACGAAUUGAAAAUGGGGUUAGUUGUUACCAUUAAUGAGAGGUAAUGUGGAUUGUACUAUAUAUGAACGUCAAAAUGUUUGAUCAAUGAAGAAGGAAGCCAAGGUCACAAAGGAAGGGGAAAAAAAGAAACCAUUUUGGCGUUUCGAAUUUACUUCAAAAUGUGAUAUAGUAUCAGAAUAUUAAUGGCAUUGAUGAUUGAGGUCUUGGUUGUUGAACCAGAAAUGGUGAGUUGCGUAUUUUAUACGAUAAAGAUGUUCGAAUUUGAGCUAUGGCUAAAUUGGGAAAAGGGAAAGAAAGUCGGAUCAUUCACUGUUCAUAUUCAUUCUCUCACUGCCUUGGUUUUGCAGUGGAUUUGUCAUUGUAGGCUUGUUUAUCAAUGGCUUCUCUGUUGCCCUCUUUCUCUUCCUUAGUUCUUGUUUAGGCUACAUGAAGGCAUCAAAGAGUGCUUGCUUGUCUCGCCUUAUAAACACUUUCGUUCACCAGGCCUCCAUUUUUCUGAUUGUCUUGUUUAACUUUGCUUUUGUGCACAGUAAUCAGGUCAAAGAAAGAUAGUCUCAAGUAUGAAAUGCCUGAGAAAAAGCACCUUUUCGAUGCGUUGAGGAAGUUACCCGACGAUGAGCAGAUGCAGACGAAUUCUUCAACGAGGAAUAGGAGAUGACUUUCACAAUGUAAGCCUAAAGGAAACUAUCUAGUGAGCUGGAGCUAUGGAUGCUUUGAAUUAGCAAUGCAAUGAACAUAAUCCUCAACAUAUUUCGAACAGGACGCUUCGCUCUCGCCAACAAGUCUGAUUUCUUUUUCUCCAAGGAUAUAAGAUCCCUUAAUGUAUGGUCUAAGGAUUACUGAAGUAGAAGUUCUACAUAUGCCUUUGGGGUUCUGGUUCUUGAGAUUGUAUGUGGAAAGAAGGAUACUUCUUUUAGUUCAAUAUCGAAUUCAGUUCUGGAUACUGUACGAUUCAUGUAGAUUUUUCAUGAAUGAUAUACAUCAGUUUGCUUGGCAGUAUUUGUAUUAUAUGCUAUGUGUUUCCGAGGACAUGAUUUUUAUUGUUCUUGUAACAGGUAAGGAUGCUAUUGA